rnacentral:piRNA from 1 species
UACAUGGCUAUGUGAAGAUAGACAAUCUGC